AUGGGUAGCAGUGAGUCUUUUCCCACCGUAACAAACACUUGUUCAAACUUUUCAGGCUGCUGUGGUUCAUGGAUCCCCAAAGACCAAGAGGAGGUGCGUGAGGGGCUUGUUUUUCAAACAGGGGAGGAGGAACCAGCUCCCUGUGUGAGAAGUUACCCUGCAGCAAUGGCAGCACUAUGGCUGAAGGCUGCCUUUCCUUUGCUAGUCUGUCUGGUUGUUUCUGCCUUCUCUGAUUCCAACACUGAAAGUGUCUUCCUGUCCUCCACCCACUGGAUUUUGGGGAUCCAACGACGGGGGGUGCAGAAAGUGGUGCUGAGGAGACUUCUGGCUCUCCAGGAGACGAGCAAAGAGAAUCCCCCUGCCACGGAGGAGAGACAAGAAGAAAUCCGGCGAGUCCGCCGAUCUUGGCUCUCAGAGUACAUGAAUGACCUCUGGUCCCACGUCCGCGAGACCUUCCCACAGUCGGCUCUGUAUGCAUUCCCCAUUGCCUUGGGGCUCAUGCUUGUUCUCUGCUCUAUCACGGUUCUCAUGGAGUGAGAAAACCAAAGGAACUGCAAGGCGUAUCUAUGUCUUCUCUAGGGUUUGUGUGGCCCAGCCCAAUGAAAUGUCCCUCAGAAGUUCCAGGAGUACACGUGAGCUGUUCCUGGUUUUUCACACAUAUCAGGUUGACCAGCACUGUUUCUUUCUUCCUGUUUAAACUGCUGAUUUUGUACGAAUGAAGAAAAUGUACACUGAACAUCCAGAUCAGAUUAUUUAUUGCUCUGAUUUAUUCCCUUUCUGAUGUUUUGCUAUCAGUAUGUAUUGAGUUAAACUAGCAAAAUGACUUGGCAGCUGCUCUUCCUUUGGGAGCAUUAUCAAUACAUAUACUUUCAAAUAAUACCCAUAGCCACGCAAUAUUCCUUAAUAGAGGCAUGUCAUACUGACAUUUGGUUUCAGCCACUUCGGAUAGACUCCUGGUAUGUAAAGAGGAAAACUCCUUGCAAGCAUUACUCUGCACUGAGAAAGAACCUCACACAAGUCUAUAACAUAGAAUCAAUCAUUCAUGUUAAAUGGAUUUAUUCCUAAAGGAUUCAUUUUUUUUCUUAAUGGGAUAAAACUUUCCUCACAGCAUUUCCAAGUUGUGGUAUGAGGCUGUCCCUGUGUGCUACACUGACCUGAGGGACUUCCUUACACUAGCAUUUAUGUCACAGUAGGGGCUAGGAAUUCCAUCCGAGGCCAAGUUUCUGUUGUACUAGACACACGGCAAACCUUGUAAACUUUUCAGGACAGUCACUAUCUUUCACUUUCUGGAUAGACAAAACAGACAAUGAAAGAGGGCAAAAAGAAACACAGAGAGGGAAAUGACUUACAUGAAAUCAGUGAUAGAUCCCAGAGUAGGACAAAUGUCUUCUGGCUCUGUCUAACACCCAGUCCAUCUGGUAAAAUGGCUGCCAGCAUUGUGCAAGCUGAUACAUGUGACAGACCAAGAAGCAUGAAGGUCCCAUCUGCUUAUGAAGAGCUGAAUAUGCAUCUAGGGACAGGGAUGAAACAAAACUGAAUGCCUCCAAACUUCUCAGCUCAGCAAUUUUGAUCUCUGGACUGGGCCACACCAAGCUCCUGAUUCUCUGAUCUAGACUUUGGGUCCCACUUUUGUAGUUGCCAUAUACAGUCUAAGACCCUUUAUAUAUUAAAGGUACAGAGCAUGGGGCUUACUCUGUUUUGGUCUCCUACUCCACAAUUUGGAUUGCUAAAACUGGUAGAUUUUUCAUUGGUGGAGUGAAGUGAGACCUACCCACCACUUAUCUUGAUGGUUGUUGCUUGUUUAGAACACAAUACCUUUGGAACAUCACAUCCGAUCAGUAUCACAAUUUCAAGGAUUGUUUCAGGGAUCAAUAGGCAGCCUUAUGGAUUUGGGGGAGGAAGACAGAAAAGGGGAAAAGGGAAAUGCAGAGCCCAUUGCAUUUGCUUAGCACACUCAAAACUGCAGUCAGAUCUGCAAUGGUCUAUAGAGCAAAGACACAGCAGAUAACAUGGUCCAGCAUGACUUCAUCCUUCAUCUCCAUUUGGCCCAUCCAGCUGAUGGAAUUUAGCGUUGACCUCUUCAAAUGAGCUGCUUCACAGACAGGCCGAAAUAAAAGAAGCUCCUGAUAAGUGUAUCUAUUAUUU
rnacentral:lncRNA from 1 species